UUGGAGGGCAAGUCUGGUGCCAGCAGCCGCGGUAAUUCCAGCUCCAAUAGCGUGUAUUAAAGUUGUUGCAGUUAAAAAGCUCGUAGUUGAAUUUCGGGAUCAGUACGUUGGUCGUGCCUUAGGUACGUACUGGUGUUACUGGUUCCUACCUUCUGACGAACCAUCAUGUCAUUCAUUUGGUGUGGCGGGGAAUCAGGACUGUUACUUUGAAAAAAUUAGAGUGUUUAAAGCAGGCUCGCGCUUGAAUACAUUAGCAUGGAAUAAUGAAAUAGGACGUUGAUCCUAUUUUGUUGGUUUCUAGGAUCGACGUAAUGAUUAAUAGGGAUAGUUGGGGGCAUUAGUAUUCAAUUGUCAGAGGUGAAAUUCUUGAAUUUAUUGAAGACUAACUACUGCGAAAGCAUUUGCCAAGGAUGUUUUCAUUAAUCAAGAACGAAAGUUAGGGGAUCGAAGACGAUCAGAUACCGUCGUAGUCUUAACCAUAAACUAUGCCGACUAGGGAUCGGAUGAUGUUAAUUUUUUAAUGACUCGUUCGGCGCCUUACGGGAAAC
rnacentral:rRNA from 1 species